rnacentral:lncRNA from 1 species
GAGGGGGGAUUAGGAGUGGAUGACGAAAAAACGGUCGGAGGCAGCUCCGUUGAACACUCCUUUAAGAACAAGGGUGCUGCGAAGACACAGGCCCCUUCCUCUAGCGCCAAUCCUGUUGGUGCAAAAAUCCGCUUGCACCGGAGAAGCUGGAGUCGGGGAAGCCGCGGUCGCCGCCGGGACCUGCAAGAGAAGUCUAAACCGGAGGUGGGGUUGCUCCGGCAAGACCCUCCGACGCUCAAGUCAGUUCUCUGCC